rnacentral:lncRNA from 10 species
ACAAAACUACAGUGGAAUAAAGAAUACGGAGAAUUUUGAGUCAUGUCUUGUACAAUUGAAAUUUAAGAGCAAGGUUGCUUCUGUACCCCUAUACAGACUUGGCGCUGUGCCUCCACACUAGCUGCCAGAAAGAUGACAAAUGACAAUCAAAGAAAUCACCAGGAGACAAUGGCCUCUAUAAAUGAGAAAAUCUAAAAUUUCGGUAAGUGCAAUCAAAGACAAUCAUCAACUGGGACUUUGGAACACAUCCCCUAGGAUCAGAAGACUUCCGUAUCUGUGUGUAUUC